GACGAACGCUGGCGGCGUGCUUAACACAUGCAAGUCGAACGGACAGGCCCUGCUUUUGUUGGUUGCUCGAUUGGCGAACGGGUGAGUAACACGUGUGUAACCUGCCCUUGACUUUGGGAUAACUUCAGGAAACUGGGGCUCAUACCGGAUAUGAUCUCCUGCUCCAUGGUGGGGGUUGGAAAGUUUCGGCGGUUGGGGCUGGACUCGCGGCUUAUCCGCUUGUUUGUGUGGUAGUGGCUGACCAAGGGUUUGACGGGUAGCCGGCCUGAGAGGGUGACCGGCCACAAGGGGACUGAGGUACGGAGCAGAAGGGUACGGGAGGCAGUAGGGGGGAAUAUUGCAGAAUGGGCGGAAGCCUGAGGCAGCAACGCCGCGUGCGGGAUGACGGCCUGCGGGUGGUAAACCGAUUUCGAAGGUGAUGAAGCGUGAGUGACGGUAAUGGGUAAAGAAGCAACGGCUAACUACGUG
rnacentral:rRNA from 1 species